GCGUGGGUUUGGAUUUAUGGCAGGCCUGUUCCACUGGGCCUCUCCUAGUGUCCCAUGCCAGAGCAACUGUGGCCCUGAACCAUUGUCUGGCCUCUGCCCAUAGGCUGCAGGCACAGAAGCAGGUUGCACAGUG
rnacentral:snoRNA from 1 species